rnacentral:rRNA from 1 species
GAUCCUGGCUCAGGACGAACGCUGGCGGCGUGCCUAAUACAUGCAAGUCGAGCGAACGGAUGGGAGCUUGCUCCCUGAAGUUAGCGGCGGACGGGUGAGUAACACGUGGGCAACCUGCCUGUAAGACCGGGAUAACUUGCGGAAACGUGAGCUAAUACCGGAUAAUCUCCGACUUCGCAUGAAGUUGGACUGAAAGACGGCGCAAGCUGUCACUUACAGAUGGGCCCGCGGCGCAUUAGCUAGUUGGUGAGGUAAUGGCUCACCAAGGCUACGAUGCGUAGCCGACCUGAGAGGGUGAUCGGCCACACUGGGACUGAGACACGGCCCAGACUCCUACGGGAGGCAGCAGUAGGGAAUCUUCCGCAAUGGACGCAAGUCUGACGGAGCAACGCCGCGUGAGCGAUGAAGGUCUUCGGAUCGUAAAGCUCUGUUGUCAGGGAAGAACAAGUAUCGGAGUAACUGCCGGUACCUUGACGGUACCUGACCAGAAAGCCACGGCUAACUACGUGCCAGCAGCCGCGGUAAUACGUAGGUGGCAAGCGUUGUCCGGAAUUAUUGGGCGUAAAGCGCGCGCAGGCGGUCCUUUAAGUCUGAUGUGAAAGCCCCCGGCUCAACCGGGGAGGGUCAUUGGAAACUGGGGGACUUGAGUGCAGAAGAGAAGAGCGGAAUUCCACGUGUAGCGGUGAAAUGCGUAGAGAUGUGGAGGAACACCAGUGGCGCAGGCGGCUCUUUGGUCUGUAACUGACGCUGAGGCGCGAAAGCGUGGGGAGCAAACAGGAUUAGAUACCCUGGUAGUCCACGCCGUAAACGAUGAGUGCUAAGUGUUAGAGGGUUUCCGCCCUUUAGUGCUGCAGCAAACGCAUUAAGCACUCCGCCUGGGGAGUACGGCCGCAAGGCUGAAACUCAAAG